GAUGAACGCUAGCGGGAGGCUUAAUACAUGCAAGUCGAACGGCAGCAAUUCGGAUGGCGAGUGGCGCACGGGUGAGUAACGCGUACAGACCUGCCUUGUACUGGAGGAUAGCCCCGGGAAACUGGGAGUAAUACUCCAUAGUAUCGAAAGAUUAAAGCUCCGGCGGUACAAGAUGGCUGUGCGUCUGAUUAGCUAGUUGGUGAGGUAAAGGCUCACCAAGGCGACGAUCAGUAGGGGGCGUGAGAGCGUGACCCCCCACACGGGUACUGAGACACGGACCCGACUCCUACGGGAGGCAGCAGUAAGGAAUAUUGGGCAAUGGAGGCAACUCUGACCCAGCCAUCCCGCGUGCAGGAUGAAGGCGCUACGCGUUGUAAACUGCUUUUAUUUGGGACGAAAAUUGAUUAUUUACUAAUCAACUGACGGUACCUUAUGAAUAAGCACCGGCUAACUCCG
rnacentral:rRNA from 1 species